AUCUUUCUAGUAUUUAAAGUUAGUACAAGUGACUUCCAAUCAUUUAGUCUUGGUUAAAAUCCAAGGAAAGAUA